ensembl:lncRNA
UUUGUUUUCUCUUCUUGGGGGUCCGAGUGUCUCCUUCUUUUCCUUUCUUACUCCUAGGCUUGUGUGUCUGUGUCCGUGUCUGCUUUCGAAAGUCCUGCUUUGUUCUCCCAGCAGCGCUUGCCUGGUUUCGCUUUGCCGGUCCCUCCCUCCCUCCCUCCCUCCCUCCUUUUCUCCCUCCCUCCCUCCCGCCCCCCUCUUUCGGGGGGCCGGGGGCCGGGGGUUCCUGGGAUGUCACUGGUGCCCCCUCUCUCCGCCCACCCCGCCCCGAGCCCCCGCCGCCCGCCCGCCCGCCCGCGUCUCCGUGGAAUUGUCCCCCCACCACCCUGGAAUCGCGUGGCGGGGGGGGGGGCGGGGGGGGGCGGGGAUCGCGGCUCUUUCGUGGCAGCCUCCAGGGGAGAGAUCUCCCGGCUCCUCUCCCUUCCUCUGCGGCCGGGGUCGCGUCGCGUCGCGUCGCUCGGCGGCGGAGGCUCCGGGCCGAGCUCGGGCGUUUGGGCGGCCGGCGCUGUGGCGUCCCCGGCGGCCGGCGACAGCGACCCGUCCUCGGGACGUUCGAGCCGGUUGUCGGGAGCCACCUGGCGGCCGCUUGUAUAUUGUCCCUCCCCCUCCGGAGCUUCGGCGAGCCCUUCAGGAGGGUUGUGACUCAGCCGCCGGGCCCGAGGCAGAGCUCUCAGACACCGGCUAUGCUGGCGGCGACAGUCCCGGUGGCGCCGAGGCCUAGGGACGUCCUGCUGUCGCCGGAGAUUGGUUCUCUAGGUUUCUGAGGAGGGUGAUCGUCGCGGCGCUCCGGGGCCGGGCUCUGGGGUGGCCGGACCGGGUCGACCAGCAUCUCCCCGUGCCCCUGUGGCCGCGGAGAAGGACCGGCCGGACCCUCCCUGGGCCGGGCCGCCGCGGUGGGCAGGGAGAGGGUCUUCCCUGCCCGGAGCGCCUGGACUCGGGCUCGGCGGUCCGGACUCCUCCUGGGCCGCCCUCAGGAGCGUUUGCUUCGCCCUCGGCCCCGCUCCGGAGGUGGGGACCCGCCCGCCGGAGUCGUGAGGGUUGACGGGGAGAGGCGGGCGCGUGUGCGGCCGCCCCACCCCAACCCGUGGGGUCCGGUCGCCCGAGGCGUCUCCUGGCACACAUGCUGUUUCUUUUUCAAAGUCCCGAUGGGUCCGGAGACGUGGAUGGACCGGACCCUGCUUCCGCGGGUGGCCGGGGAGGGCGCGCCCGACCCUUCAGCGUGCCUUCGUGGGUCUCGGUCGUCGGAUGCGACUUUGUCUCACCCCUCCCCACCUCCCUGAAUCCCGGUCAGGAGGUGGGGACCGGCUCGGGCCGUCCUGGGUGCCCCAUCUAGGACGGUCUGGGUCCCGCCCGGGCGCGGUCCCUGGUCGGGGCCCGCUCGUCUCGUUGGAGGCGCCGCGCUGACGGUUCUUCCUUCUUGUUUCUUGAUGCUCAUCGAAGCCAAAUCCCCGUUCGGAGACUCCGACGGACCGGUACCCCUACCCGUGUGGGCGAAGCGGGAGAGGGCGCCCCCGGCCAGCUCCCUCUCCCUUGGUGGGUGUCCGCGCCCCCACUUUGGCCAUCGCGCGCCCCCUCCCCCUGCUCCCCUUCCCCGGUCGACCAGAUGACUCCCCCCCCCCCCCCCACCCCCCCCCACCCCCCCGCCACGAGAGCUCCGGGCCUGGUGUUUAUGGGGUAGCGCUGGGGACAGGUGGCCGGGCCAAGGUUCCGGGGGUCCUCCAUGCGAGUCGUGGAUGGGCCCCGCUGUCGGCUGCUGUCAUUUCGUCGCCCUUAAUGGGCCUUUUUUACCACCAGGUAAGUGCUGACACGGUCUGCUUCGGUGUCUGCCACCGAGGAAACUUUGGGUCUCUGGAUGUACGCGGGGCUCUGGGCCUUCGGGCCGCCAGCUCUGGUCCCCGGUUCGGCCCUUGCCGCUGGAGCCGCCCGCCUGGGCCUGUGCGCCGGCUCCUGUGUGGUGUUGUCUGGCUGACCCGACUCGUGGUGCCACCUCCGGUCUCUGGGCGACCCGAGGGCGGCGGGGCGAGGCGCCGUGGGUCUUCUACCCUGUGCGCUCCCCGCUGCGGGCACCCGGUGAAGGCUGAGAUGCGACCCCCGCCCUGUGGGCUCCGUGCCACGUGUCAGGCGUUCUCGAACCUCCUGGGGUCGUGGGCCGCUCUCGCCUGAGGCGAGGUGGGGGGCGGAGGUUGCCGGUGAGGCUUAAAGCGGGCCCCUCUGGUGACUGUCCUCGCCGUGCCUUCCCCCUGCUCCACCUUGGCUCAUCCGAUCGAUGUGGUGUGGUCGUGCUCUCCCGGGCCGGGCCUAAGCCGUGCCAGACGAGGGACAGGUGUUCCCGGGGAACGUGUCUGCUCUUCUCGGUCUGUCCGCGGGGCCCCUCGCCUGACUUUUCCCCCCUGGCCGUCGGGGAGGGGGAGGAAGGCGGGGGCUGGGUUGCGGCCUCUGGCCCUGACCUUCGGUCUCCUGUCCCCCGCCUCGGGUGGCGUCAGUGGGGGCCGUGGGUCUUCUGACACAGCAGAUGCUCUCGCUUCGCCUUCCCGGCGUGUGCUCCGCGAGCGGCCCUCCCCGCGGUGGGGAGGGCUGUACCGCUGCUGCGCUGCGCCCCCCCCGCGCGGGUGCGCGAGCGUGCCUCGUUGGACCCUCGGUGGUGCCCCUGGAGCGCUCCAGGUCGUCGCUCAGGUGCCUGAGGCCGAGCGGUGGUGUCGUUUCCCUUAACCCCGGUGUCCUCCUCGGGUCCCCACCGCGGUGGUGUGUGUGUGUGUCCCGUGAGUGGGCUCUUUUGGGGGGGGGUCGAGGCGGUAGGAGAGGCGUGCCUGUUCCCCUCGUCGUCGAGGCUGACGGGUCGUCGAGGCCUUGCAGGGGACGGGACGCGGGCUCGGCGCUGGCCCCGGCCGCGCAGACGCUCCUGUGUUGGUGCUCCGCCUACCUGUACCGCAGACCCCUCCCACCCCAGCUGAGGACUGGUGGCUCGUGGAGCGCCUCCGUGGGCCCGAAGGAGAGAGACGAUCCGGGUGAGGGGCGGCGAGCCCUCGGUGAGAAAGCCUUCUCUAGCGAUCCGAGAGGGAGCCUUGGGGUAUCGGACCCCCCAGCUGCUGCCCCUCCUGAGUGCGCAGUGGCCGCCGUGGCGGCUGCCAAGAGCGCGUGGGCAGAACACCCCGCCCCGCACCUCCCCUCUGGGGGCGGUGGGGGGCGGGUGCGCCGGCCCCGCGGUGGGGCCGUGUGCCGCUCGUUGCCUACCGCGGCCCGCGCCUCCCCCCUUCGAGUUGGGGGAGGGUCCCGCUGGGCCCCGCCGGGCGUCCGGCAGGUGGGGGGGGACCGGAGCGUGCGUGCGCCGCGUGUGCGCGCGGUCGGCCCCCGCGGUGUGGUGAGCCUUGGGGCAAAGGGGGGGAAGGUGUUGGGGGCGCGACGUCCGGUCGGCCCCGGCUUCCCCAGCCCCGCAGCCGUGGUGCGGGAGAGCCUAUCGCGCCCGCCCUCUCCCCACGAGCCGCAGCCGGUGGCGGCGUGCGGUCACGGUCGGGGCCGCCUCGCUCGAGAGCGUGAUCCCCAGGAUGUCGAGCCUCGGGGUGGCAGACUUGGAUCGGAAGACGGAUCUGUCGAGGACGGGUGGCGGAAGAUGGGUUUGGGCGGCUCGCCGGCCCUGGCGGCGGGGCCGGGUCGUGGGGGCCCGCUCUGGGGCUGGCCGGGACCGGUCGGCGUCCCAGGCGUGUCGCGGGACCGCCCUCGUGUGUGGGUGGCGGUGGGACCCCGCGCUGGUUUUCCUGGUGGCCCGGCCGUGUUCCCGGUGUCUUUGUGGUCCCCGGAUGGCGCCCGCGGCCCUGUCCCGCGGCCCCCGCCGUGCGUGCUUGCCGGCCCCUCCCCGCCGCUGCCGGCCUCUCCUCCUCGUCCCGCGCGUGCGACCGCCCCGCGCUCCCUUCCCCUGUCUGGGGCCGAGCCGGCCUCGCCUCAUGUGGGUGUCGUUCCCCCGGCCUCCGUCGGCCGGUGGCGUCCCCGAGGCGGGGCGGCGCGCGGGGAGCCUUGCGCGUGUGGGGGACGUGGGGGCCGCCGGUGCGCGGCGGGAGAGCGUUCUCCCUGGCCGGCUUGCGGCUCUCGGGUGUGUGUCGGUGGCGGUGGGCGUGAGCCCCCGUGAGGGUGCCGGGGGGGGAGGGCGCCAGUCCGUCGUCCCGGGCGUGCGGUGGGACCGUCCCUGUGCUGGGAGGCCUCCGGCGGUGAGAUCCCGCGGUGGGCCCUGGCGGCCGACUCGCGCUUCCCCCUGCCCCAGCACGGGUCGCUUUGAGCCAUGCCCCUCGCGGUGGCGCGCGGCCGCCCCACCAACACCGCCCCUGUUCCGUGGCGUUGGCCUCGCGUGGCCGCACCCCGUCGGUGCUCCUCUCCGUCUGUCCGUCCGCCUCAGUCCGCUCGCCGUCUGCUGCCUCCCGGGGCCGCGCCCUGGUGUGUCUCGCUUCCGGGCCCGCCGCGGUCCCGAUCCGUUGCCCGUUUCGCCGCCGCCUGUCCGUCGCCGCCGUCGCGUGCUGGACGAGGGGGAGCUCCCGUGAUCUCCCCCCUCCCCCGCCCCGCCGCGGCCCCCCGCUCCGGUGCGCUCGCCCGAGCGCGGGUCGGGUCCCCGGUCUUGCCCACCGCGGGCCGGUCGCCGUGUCCUCGCCGGCCGGCGUCCCCCGCCCCUCUGGGGCGGGUGUGACGGCCGGACGCCGAGGGCGCGCGUCGGCCGUCCGCGGUGUGGCCUUGGCCGUGGUGGAGUCCCCCCCGGGGCGGGCGGGCUCGCGGUGGGGGGGGGGGGGAGAUCACGGGAGCUCCCCCUCGUCCAGCACGCGACGGCGGCGACGGACAGGCGGCGGCGAAACGGGCAACGGAUCGGGACCGCGGCGGGCCCGGAAGCGAGACACACCAGGGCGCGGCCCCGGGAGGCAGCAGACGGCGAGCGGACUGAGGCGGACGGACAGACGGAGAGGAGCACCGACGGGGUGCGGCCACGCGAGGCCAACGCCACGGAACAGGGGCGGUGUUGGUGGGGCGGCCGCGCGCCACCGCGAGGGGCAUGGCUCAAAGCGACCCGUGCUGGGGCAGGGGGAAGCGCGAGUCGGCCGCCAGGGCCCACCGCGGGAUCUCACCGCCGGAGGCCUCCCAGCACAGGGACGGUCCCACCGCACGCCCGGGACGACGGACUGGCGCCCCCCCGGCACCCUCACGGGGGCUCACGCCCACCGCCACCAACACACACCCGAGAGCCGCAAGCCGGCCAGGGAGAACGCUCUCCCGCCGCGCACCGGCGGCCCCCACGUCCCCCACACGCGCAAAGCUCCCCGCGCGCCGCCCCGCCUCGGGGACGCCACCGGCCGACGGAGGCCGGGGGACGACACCCACAUGAGGCGAGGCCGGCUCGGCCCCAGACAGGGGAAGGGAGCGCGGGGCGGUCGCACGCGCGGGACGAGGAGGAGAGGCCGGCAGCGGCGGGGAGGGGCCGGCAAGCACGCACGGCGGGGGCCGCGGGACAGGGCCGCGGGCGCCAUCCGGGGACCACAAAGACACCGGGAACACGGCCGGGCCACCAGGAAAACCAGCGCGGGGUCCCACCGCCACCCACACACGAGGGCGGUCCCGCGACACGCCUGGGACGCCGACCGGUCCCGGCCAGCCCCAGAGCGGGCCCCCACGACCCGGCCCCGCCGCCAGGGCCGGCGAGCCGCCCAAACCCAUCUUCCGCCAUCCGUCCUCGACAGAUCCGUCUUCCGAUCUAAGUCUGCCACCCCGAGGCUCGACAUCCUGGGGAUCACGCUCUCGAGCGAGGCGGCCCCGACCGCGACCGCACGCCGCCACCGGCUGCGGCUCGUGGGGAGAGGGCGGGCGCGAUAGGCUCUCCCGCACCACGGCUGCGGGGCUGGGGAAGCCGGGGCCGACCGGACGUCGCGCCCCCAACACCUUCCCCCCUUUGCCCCAAGGCUCACCACACCGCGGGGGCCGACCGCGCGCACACGCGGCGCACGCACGCUCCGGUCCCCCCCACCUGCCGGACGCCCGGCGGGGCCCAGCGGGACCCUCCCCCAACUCGAAGCGGGGAGGCGCGGGCCGCGGUAGGCAACGAGCGGCACACGGCCCCACCGCGGGGCCGGCGCACCCGCCCCCCACCGCCCCCAGAGGGGAGGUGGGGGGCGGGGUGUUCUGCCCACGCGCUCUUGGCAGCCGCCACGGCGGCCACUGCGCACGCAGGAGGGGCAGCAGCUGGGGGGUCCGAUACCCCAAGGCUCCCUCUCGGAUCGCUAGAGAAGGCUUUCUCACCGAGGGCUCGCCGCCCCUCACCCGGAUCGUCUCUCUCCUUCGGGCCCACGGAGGCGCUCCACGAGCCACCAGUCCUCAGCUGGGGUGGGAGGGGUCUGCGGUACAGGUAGGCGGAGCACCAACACAGGAGCGUCUGCGUGGCCGGGGCCAGCGCAGAGCCCGCGUCCCGUCCCCUGCAAGGCCUCACCCGUCAGCCUCGACGACGAGGGGAACAGGCACGCCUCUCCUACCGCCUCGACCCCCCCCAAAAGAGAGCCCACUCACGGGACACACACACACCACCGCGGUGGGGACCCGAGGAGGACACCGGGGUUAAGGGAAACGACACCACCGCUCGGCCUCAGGCACCUGAGCGACGACCUGGAGCGCUCCAGGGGCACCACCGAGGGUCCAACGAGGCACGCUCGCGCACCCGCGCGGGGGGGGGCGCAGCGCAGCAGCGGUACAGCCCUCCCCACCGCGGGGAGGGCCGCUCGCGGAGCACACGCCGGGAAGGCGAAGCGAGAGCAUCUGCUGUGUCAGAAGACCCACGGCCCCCACCGACGCCCCCCGAGGCGGGGGACAGGAGACCGAAGGUCAGGGCCAGAGGCCGCAACCCAGCCCCCGCCUUCCUCCCCCUCCCCGACGGCCAGGGGGGAAAAGUCAGGCGAGGGGCCCCGCGGACAGACCGAGAAGAGCAGACACGUUCACCGGGAACACCUGUCCCUCGUCUGGCACGGCUUAGGCCCGGCCCGGGAGAGCACGACCACACCACAUCGAUCGGAUGAGCCAAGGUGGAGCGGGGGGAAGGCACGGCGAGGACAGUCACCAGAGGGGCCCGCUUUAAGCCUCACCGGCAACCUCCGCCCCCCACCUCGCCUCAGGCGAGAGCGGCCCACGACCCCAGGAGGUUCGAGAACGCCUGACACGUGGCACGGAGCCCACAGGGCGGGGGUCGCAUCUCAGCCUUCACCGGGUGCCCGCAGCGGGGAGCGCACAGGGUAGAAGACCCACGGCGCCUCGCCCCGCCGCCCUCGGGUCGCCCAGAGACCGGAGGUGGCACCACGAGUCGGGUCAGCCAGACAACGCCACACAGGAGCCGGCGCACAGGCCCAGGCGGGCGGCUCCAGCGGCAAGGGCCGAACCGGCGACCAGAGCUGGCGGCCCGAAGGCCCAGAGCCCCGCGUACAUCCAGAGACCCAAAGUUUCCUCGGCGGC